AAUGAACGCUGGCGGCGUGCUUAACACAUGCAAGUCGAACGAGAAAGGGAUUGCUUGCAAUCCCGAGUAGAGUGGCGCACGGGUGAGUAACACGUGGAUAAUCUACCUUCGAAUUUGGGAUAACUAUCUGAAAAGGUAGCUAAUACCGGAUGAUAUCCAUUUUGCUUUGGCGGAAUGGAUGAAAGAUGGCCUCUGCUUGCAAGCCGUUGUUUGAAGAUGAGUCCGCGCACCAUUAGCUAGCUGGUGGGGUAACGGCCUACCAGGGCGACGAUGGUUAGCUGGUCUGAGAGGAUGAUCAGCCACACUGGAACUGACACACGGUCCAGACUCCUACGGGAGCAG
rnacentral:rRNA from 1 species